rnacentral:rRNA from 1 species
CAGUAGCCACGGUAAUACGUAGGUGGCAAGCGUUGUCCGGAAUUAUUGGGCGUAAAGGGCUCGCAGGCGGUUUCUUAAGUCUGAUGUGAAAGCCCCCGGCUCAACCGGGGAGGGUCAUUGGAAACUGGGAAACUUGAGUGCAGAAGAGGAGAGUGGAAUUCCACGUGUAGCGGUGAAAUGCGUAGAGAUGUGGAGGAACACCAGUGGCGAAGGCGACUCUCUGGUCUGUAACUGACGCUGAGGAGCGAAAGCGUGGGGAGCGAACAGGAUUAGAUACCCCAGUAGUCCCUGUCUCUUAUAA